rnacentral:rRNA from 1 species
UACAGAGGGUGCGAGCGUUAAUCGGAAUUACUGGGCGUAAAGCGUGCGUAGACGGUUAUCUAAGUCGGAUGUGAAAGCCCCGGGCUCAACCUGGGAAUUGCAUUCGAGACUGAAUAGCUAGGGUGCGGUAGAGGGAAGCGGAAUUUCCGGUGUAGCGGUGAAAUGCGUAGAGAUCGGGAGGAACACCAGUGGCGAAGGCGGCCUUCUGGACCAGCACUGACACUCAAGCACGAAAGCGUGGGGAGCAAACAGG